rnacentral:rRNA from 1 species
UUUCCUACGGGACGCAGCAGUGGGGAAUAUUGCACAAUGGGGGAAACCCUGAUGCAGCAACGCCGCGUGAGUGAAGAAGUAUUUCGGUAUGUAAAGCUCUAUCAGCAGGGAAGAAGAUGACGGUACCUGAUUAAGAAGCCCCGGCUAACUACGUGCCAGCAGCCGCGGUAAUACGUAGGGGGCAAGCGCUAUCCGGAUUUACUGGGUGUAAAGGGAGCGUAGACGGCAGCGCAAGUCUGGAGUGAAAUGCCGGGGCCCAACCCCGGAACUGCUCUGGAAACUGCGAAGCUGGAGUGCAGGAGAGG